rnacentral:rRNA from 1 species
GGGUCUGUCCAUUGGUCGGGCUUUACGGUCCGUACUGGUGAGAUGGGUUCCUACCUUCUGAAUAACCGGCAUGCCAUUCAGUUGGUGCGCCGGGGAAGCAGAGCUAUUACCUUGAAAAAAUUAGAGUGCUUAAAGCAGGCUAUUGCUUGAAUAGAUUAGCAUGGAAUAAUAAAAUAGGACGGCAUGGUUCUAUUUUGUUGGUUUCUGAAUCACCGUA